UACAGAGGGUGCAAGCGUUGCUCGGAUUUACUGGGCGUAAAGCGUACGCAGACGGUGAGCAAGGUCGGAUGUGAAAGCCCCGGGCUCAACCCGGGAACUGCAUCCGAAACCAUCUCGCUAGAGUAUGGGAGAGGGAAGCAGAAUUCCUGGUGUAGAGGUGAAAUUCGUAGAUAUCAGGAGGAAUACCUGCGGCGAAGGCGGCUUCCUGGCCCAUUACUGACGUUCAGGUACGAAAGCGUGGGUAGCAAACAGG
rnacentral:rRNA from 1 species